CAACCUGCCCACCACUUGGGGAUAACCUUGCGAAAGUAAGACUAGUACCCAAUGAUAUCUCUAGAAGACAUCUGAAAGAGAUUAAGGAUUUAUCGGUGAUGGAUGGGGAUGCGUCUGAUUAGCUUGUUGGCGGGGUAACGGCCCACCAAGGCGACGAUCAGUAGGGGUUCUGAGAGGAAGGUCCCCCACAUUGGAACUGAGACACGGUCCAAACUCCUACGGGAGGCAGCAGUGAGGAAUAUUGGUCAAUGGACGAGAGUCUGAACCAGCCAAGUAGCGUGCAGGAUGACGGCCCUAUGGGUUGUAAACUGCUUUUAUAAGGGAAUAAAGUGAGUCUCGUGAGACUUUUUGCAUGUACCUUAUGAAUAAGGACCGGCUAAUUCCGUGCCAGCAGCCGCGGUAAUACGGAAGGUCCGGGCGUUAUCCGGAUUUAUUGGGUUUAAAGGGAGCGUAGGCCGGAGAUUAAGCGUGUUGUGAAAUGUAGACGCUCAACGUCUGCACUGCAGCGCGAACUGGUUUCCUUGAGUACGCACAAAGUGGGCGAAAUUCGUGGUGUAGCGGUGAAAUGCUUAGAUAUCACGAAGAACUCCGAUUG
rnacentral:rRNA from 1 species